rnacentral:lncRNA from 1 species
GGAAACCUAUAUGCGUGUAACUUUGAUUCAUAGGGGAAAUUAUAAGAUUGCUUGAUAUUUUGUAAGGAACAAAUCACCUUCUUCUAGUAAACUAUUUCCAAACAAAGAACAAAUACAAACUAUUUUAAAACUAUAGGCAUGUUUAUCUGGGUCUAGAAUUGCAAUCAAAUAACCCAUUAAAUGGGCUUUCCUGCAUCACUGUAACAAAGCCCAUUGGAGUUGCUGAGGGCCGAGUCCAAAAUUCCAUAGACUCUGAAAGAAUACUCUAAUAACUAAGCAAUGACUAGCAAUUAUUCAAAAAGGGAAAUUCUUACAAAAUAAUUAAAUACAACCUUAAUUUCAAAUCCCAUUAAUCACGAUUUAGAACAAGAAUCAGUUGCCAUUUUAAUUUUUACAACAAUCAAGUGCUCUCAAAAGCAAUUUAUUAAUGAAGCUAACUUGCUAAACUAUACACUGAAACAACAGCCAUGUAUGCUUCAACACUAGGCAAUAGCUUAGCCAUCAUUCAGGCGAAACCUGUUCAAAUUUGAAGCUCAUACUUAAACCAAUUAUUAUAGGAGAAUGUCUAUGAUUAGAACUAAGAAACAACAGUUAAACAGGCAGUUUAUAUUUUAAUACAAAUCCAAAAUAGAGUACAAGUGAUAAAUGUGUACCUAAGCUUGAAAAACAAAACUGAACUUUGCCGAAUAAGAUCAAAGAAAUCAGCUACUGAAUAAGCCUACAGCAGGUCAGCAGCAGAAAAGCCUAGAGAACCAAAUAUUGUAGCUUCUAGCUCAACUCAAACAGGACCAGCAGUGAAUCAACCCAUAAAACUUGUUCUAAUCCCUGAAACCCUUAGCCAAGACCCCAGAAAAUAGAAAGAAACUAAAAAUUUCUUAGGAAAUCUUUUUGGAAAUCUGGAUUUUUAGCAGUUUGUGCCUUUUCUCCCUUUUAUCUGUGCCCUAAUUAUUGGUAAGGGAGUCUUGUUAUAGAAGGAAUUUAGAGCAACAAAAAUCAGAUUUGUAAAUUAAAAGUACCCCCUUAACUUCUAAUUUUAUUAACUUACCCCCUGCCCCAUGAUGUUCCCCCUCUUUUAUCUCUAAAAUGAAAAGCUUCCCUCAAAUCCUAUCCAAUUCGAACCCCAGUACCCUUGUAUUUACCCCUUUUAUUUUUACUGUUUUAGGUUAAAACCGGG